UGCGGAAGGAUCAUUAACCUUUCAAAUCAGGGUGCGGCGCGGCCCCCGAGGAGCGGAAACAAUCCUUGGGAGGUAUGCGGGGGCUUCGAGCCCCCCAUUUACGCACGCACGACUGCCAUCCUUACUUUACGAGCACCUUCUGUUCUCCCUCGGCGGGGCAACCUGCCGUUGGAACCGAAUAAACUCUUUUUGCAUCUAGCAUUACCUGUUCCGAAACAAACAAUCGUUACAACUUUCAACAAUGGAUCUCUUGGCUCUGGCAUCGAUGAAGAACGCAGCGAAAUGCGAUAAGUAGUGUGAAUUGCAGAAUUCAGUGAAUCAUCGAAUCUUUGAACGCACAUUGCGCCCCUCGGUAUUCCGUGGGGCAUGCCUGUUCGAGCGUCAUCUACACCCUCAAGCUCUGCUUGGUGUUGGGCGUCUGUCCCGCCUCCGCGCGUGGACUCGCCCCAAAUUCAUUGGCAGCGGUCCUUGCCUCCUCUCGCGCAGCACAUUGCGCUUCUCGAGGGGCUACGGCUCGCGUCCAACAAGCACAUUUACCGUCUUUGACCUCGGAUCAGGUAGGGAUACCCGCUGAACUUAAGCAUAUCAAUAAGCGGAGGAAAAGAAAGCAACAGCGAUAGCCUCAGUAACGGCGAGUGAAGCGGCUACAGCUCAAAUUUGAAAUCUGGCCUCCUUUGGGGGUCCGAGUUGUAAUUUGCAGAGGAUGCUUUGGCAUUGGCGGCGGUCUAAGUUCCUUGGAACAGGACAUCGCAGAGGGUGAGAAUCCCGUACGUGGGCGCCUG
rnacentral:rRNA from 1 species